AUGCUGAUGAGGGACGGAGGGAGGCUGCUCUCAUUUGGGAAGGAUGAUACCGUCGCCUGAAUUAACCUCUCCUGCAACUCCAAAUUCAAGCUAAACCCAGCCUGUAAGCUCAACUUUCACUAACGUGAGGAUGCUGUAUGCUAGCUGUUCCGGGUGAGUCCCAGCAGAUGGUGGUGUGGCGGCACCUUUUCCACAUCUCCUGGCCCAUUUCUCUGUUUUUAUCGGAGCCAGAGGCCGUUCACAAAGUGUGGUGCAGUCAGCAGGAGAGCAGAGAGCGGCCGAGUGAGGACACACACCGCCACGGGAAAGAGGAGCCUCGGAACGGACGGAGGGGUGAAAAAAGAGAAUAGUAUUGAACCUGAGACUUCCAAAACUUCCACGCCUGAUUUUACAAGGAAUGCCAUGGUCAACCUUAGAAGCUCCCCAGUGAGACGAGAGCCAUGGGAAAAAGCUCCAGCUAGAUCGUGGUUCUGAGGAGCCGAUCCGGGGCGGUUUGUGCGGACGUGGCGAGACAAACGUGCUUGAUGUCGGACUGCGACGGCAUCGAUCACAAACAACGGUAAUCAUCUCAUGUGACGUAGAAACCGUAGAGCACAUUUUCCUCAUAAUGUAAGAUGCUAUGUGUCCAUAAGUAGUUAAAACUGGAUCCGUUCGCAGCUUUGACUGAAUCUCACUGAGCUUACAUAACAAAAUAUUACAAAACGUGUCAUAUUCGUGCUGAGAUAUAAAGGCAUCAAACAUCA